UGUACAUCUUGUGUGAUUUACGCUGCGAUUCUCUGAGAUAAUCAUCACUCUGUCUCAUGACAGCCUUAUUUAUAACGUUCACACAGGUUCAGUCUCACCGCUCAGGUGUGUUAAGGCUCAACUCUAUAGGCCACGUCACCCCUCAUGCCUCCGCCGUGCAUGAAAAUGGAAUUGAAAUAUAACUACGCCUCACUGACCAGGUCAAGAACCUAAUUUCCGUCUGACUCCAAAAGAGCUGUCAUGAUGAAAUAAGUGACAUACUUACACACCGUUCGAGCUCUCGGAGGAGGAGAACAGAAGGAGGGGGGGGGGGAGAUAAGAGAGGAGUUACUUUAAAGGACUCAUAGUUGUUGAGAGCACAAGAGAGAAAGAAGAAAGAG
ensembl:lncRNA